rnacentral:SRP_RNA from 1 species
GUUCGGUGGUGGGCAGAUAGCUCGGUAANCCGGUCAGGUCCGGAAGGAAGCAGCCGUAACGAGGUUUUNUGGGUUGCCGCCGGCUCCU